rnacentral:tRNA from 1 species
GCCUGGCUGGCUCAGUCAGUAGAGCAUGCGGCUCUGGAUCUCCAGGGUUGUGAGUUCAAGCCCCAUGUUGGGCA